ensembl:lncRNA
GCAAAACAGUGGUAUUCUGCUAAUUGGGUGAACAAAAAAGAAGGGAAACAACUUCAGCAAUCAACCAUUUAUUGAACACUUUAAAAUUCUGAAUUAAAGGAAUACCAAAGAGUGUGAGGAAGCUGGUUUUGUUGGCAGCUUGAAACCUGAUAAAGCUCAGACCCAAUGCCUUUAUGAGGAGUUUCAAGAUUGGGGUAUUUGGGAAAUCCAUAUGUGACUUCAUGGAAUUGGGCUGAGAUUCAGUCUUAGUUCUUGACGUACAGUUAAAUUUGAGAAAUCUCUCCCCAGGUUUCCUUCUUAAGCAAGGCAAGGCCAGACACAAUGGUCCCACCCAGAAUGUUUAGGAGAUAGCUGGCAGAAGUACAGGGUCUGGUGCAGAGCGCUCUCCUCCCUGCUCAAAUGGUUCAGAACAUGUGCAAGGCUUGCCAGCUUUCAUCUCACAUGCAGCAGCAUUCCACAUAUAGUCACCCUCCCAAAAUAAGGGGCAGGCUUAUAGGUGGCAGGAAAAUGGUGCCAGUGGAAGACAGGCAGAAAUAGAAAACACCAGAGGGGAGGAAGAAAGGCAGGGAAGAGGGAGACAAGAGAAGGAAAUAAAAUAACCAUGGUCUUAGGGGAUGAUGCCAAGAGUCUUCAGUCCUCACCUUUACAAAUGUCACCUGCAGAGGAUGAAAAUCUCCACUCAGUCAUGGGCUGUUUUAAGUGAGGUGGAAGAUACCAUGACAAACACUAUGGCCCCUUCUUCCACCAGACUUCUUCAACAGCCUAGAACUCACCCUCUUCCUCUCUCACUUCCCACUUUCUUAAAUUUCCCUGAGAUUAGCUAUUCUCUCUGUUUCUUCUUUGCAGAAACAACUCUCUUUAGGCUCUCUAUAAUAGGGUAGUACAACAGUUAAAUGAAACUUCAAACAACAGUCUGAUCUAGGAGGCUACCCUUGGUUACCCCCAGGGAAUUCUCUAAAUUUCUUAAACUUUAAUAACCCCUGACAUGGGACAGAGCGGGAAUUUUUACUAAUUAGCCUUACCAUUUUAUAUCAGAUAAGAGGACCCUUAACUAGAUUUAGGUAAACAAGGGACUAUAAUCAGUUUGUAAAUAUAAGUAAAUACAAAUAUUUUAGGCAACAAAGGCAAACUAAGAAUUUGUGGGAAUCCUGUUUCUUAAAAGUCCUCUAAAAAAAUGCAGACCCAAACCAAAUGGUCCUACAUGCCUUCAAAGCAUGAACUCAACUCUACUUCAGAAAGUUCCUGUAAGGAUGGUAAGCAGGCAUAAACACAAUGUUUCGAUAAUCGUUAACUGUUAUUUUUAAAACAUCUGUGACAGGGAACAGUGGCUUUAAGCUUUCCUCCCAGAAUCCCCGAGUUCAGUUUUCUGCUCAGUACAACCAAAUGCAAGUGGAUUCACUUUGUCUUAAGUGAUAGGAAACUGUCAGAAGAGCAUGAAGAGCUUGCACUAGGCAGGCUGGACUCGAGGGCAAGAAAGCCCGUUUUGUAGCUGCUGUUUCGGUUUGCUGCUGGAGACUUUGAAGAAAUUCGUGUUCACAGGAGCCCUCAGGCCAUCAGCAGUUACUACCUUCUAUAUCUUUUGUGGGGUACACAUCCCCACAAAGGAAAAGGCCUUGGUAGCAAUGGGCCUUAAUCUGCAGUUUUCUCCUAGGCCCUCGAAAGUAAAUAGUGUUGAGUGCAAUGGUGUUUUCAAGGGCUAACCACCUUCAACCCAAGGCCCCCGGCAGGGCACCUACCCAGGGCCAGGAUCUCCCUUUGGUCACAGCUGGGUGCCCACAUGCUCCUCCACUCACACUCAGAGGGGGACAGCCUGGAAGACACCAGCAUAAAUAAGGGGAACACAGGAGGACAAGGUCGCCAAAGUGCAGGUGCAAAAUCUAAAGCAACCCCCCUUCCCCACCACCUCUGCUAGCCCUGACUUGCCACCAAACCCUGGAGGAGGGGGUGUCUCUUAGGUCACAGUGUUUUUCUCUUCAUUCUUCUUGAUUUAGAGACAAAUCAGCAGGGAGGACAAGGUUCUCAAGAACAGAAAAAAUCAAAUCU